GAGGGUGCUGCUAUAUUUGCCAUGUUUCCAAGACUUCAGAAGAGGGAUGCUUUGUCUUUGAAACACAAUAUCUUACCUGAGAGAGGAUAGCAGCCCAUUCCACUGCCCUGUGUUUGCAAAGAUCGAAAGGGCCUCAAGACUUCACAGGACUAAGGGAACAAGUGAAGUUUUCUAAAUGGCAGUGUUCAGGAUAUAUUUCAAGUAGAUGUUCUGCAAUAUAUGUACUGUAGUGAAAGAGAGUUAUGGUCAUGCUGGCAUGGAAAGUUUGCCUUUUGGUGUGGCAAGAAGAGGUAGUGAAAAUGGAAAGGUUGGGACAGAGAAAAUGCAAGAAAAAAAGUAUAAUAUGUGAGGUUUCUCAGAAAGAGUUGAGAAACAGCCAGUAGGAUAGCUGGCCUGAGUGGUGAAAAGAGAAAAACAGACAAAUGGCAGAGGCAGCGGGAGCCCUUGCUAGUGUGGAGCAGCACAGCCUGCUGGGUGCAGACCAGACUAUCUGUUGAUGACAAACAGUGUAAAAUAGAUCAAUAGGACAUCGUUCUCCUUCCAGAAUUUUUAAAUUAUUAUUUAUUUUGUUAUUUUUCCAAGAGACGUAGAAAGACUUAAUCUUAAGACAUCUUUAAGACAAUCUUAAAAAUGUCUGUCAAACAGUUGAGAAUUGCCAGGAAGUUUGUAAGUUUGGCAUAGGGGAAGUACUAACCAGCUGGACAAUCAAACACACAAAGCAAUUGCUUUAAAUUCCUUACUUUUUGAAAUAUACUAAAACUGUCUCCUGGAAAGCACCCACUUUCUGCAGGUAUAGGACAAGGCAAUCUGAAGAGAUACUUUUCCCUGUUCUUAGGAAUUUGACUAGUGGUGUUCCAGUAAUAUGAGGAAAGUGGGCAUUCUCCUAGCUGUUGAGAUAAGGAAGAUAAAAGGGAGCCAUACAAACCUUUUGAUAGAUGAAGAACCUACACAACGAGGUCUCCAAACAUGGAAUACCAGAAUUAAUCUUUUUAAAGAGAUUCUUCAAGAAUAAAACUGAAAAGGGCGGGGAAAAAAAAAAGACAGCUAAUUGCAACAGUUUCUGGACAAGUCAGAGGACAGAUGAAUGUAAAAGAAUGCUGGCAUGGACAGGAAUAGUUUGAUUUCCAGUAAUGAGAGGAAAAAUGGCCUUUGCUAGGCUAUGUCAUGGCCCGUAGGCACAAAUACCACAUGAAAAGCACAAGAAAACAGGUUACCCUGCCUACAAGUGAAUACUAUGGCUUUUAUUUUCUAGCAUUACAAACCACAAUAUUUUGGUGUAAUUAUAUCACUUGAACAAUUAGCCAGCGAGAACUAUUUAGCUGAGAAUGUUUUUCUUUUCUGUCCUUUUCUGUCCUUUUCACUACAGGUUCUUGGUUCCAAAGUUUUGCUUUAAUAAGGAAACAGCCUGUGGAGUUCUACUACAAUUAGAUAAUGACCAUAAACUUUAUCAAAAGGGAAACUCAUAUAUAUUUUUUUCAAAAAUAAGCUGAUUUGUCUUUUUUAUAAUGAGAGGUAGACGAGUCUUCAAUCGCUAGCAUUUAAGCAACAAUUGGCCACUAGAGGGAAGUUACAAUUGUUGGUUAGCAGAAGUUCACAUUAAGUUAAUGUGAACUUAAAGUUCACAUUCCAUGUUAAUGCAUAAAAAAGUGUGUGUGUAUGUGUGUCCCUAUCUAUAGAUAUAAAAGUACUAUAAAAUAGUGGUUAAAAAGAAUAAUACACGAGUUCAUAAUAAUUUAUGCUUGUUCUGCAUAACACAUUAUAUCAGUUUAUCUGUGCAACAAUGACCUUAUUCUAAUUCAAUCAUUUGUUGUUAUGAUUUUAAAUUGCAGGGACAUUUAGGGCAGAAUUGCUGUUUGAAAAGUAAACUGGCAAGAGCUAUGGGUCAGGGAUGCUUGGUCUGAAAUUCAGCAGAUAGCCAUGUCCCAAAGGCUUUUCCGAGGCAGAAUCAAUCAGAAGCCAGAUGAAUGUCUUGUUAGGCUGUCAGUUCCCAGCGGCCAACUGUAAAUCUCAGGUCCAUGUCUUAAAUCCUUCUGCUAAGAGUAAAAAUGCACAUUAUGGACUGGGAGAGGAAAUGGAGAUGCAGCAGGACCCAUGGGACUUGCCACUAUCCACUUCUCUAAGAUGUUAUUUUGGAUCAGUCCCUCACAGCAGAAGGAACCAGAUUCUGUAGGAAAUCAAAUCUCUGCCCUUGAAGAAAGAUAUCUCAGGCUGUUAAAUCCUGGCAUGGGUGAUUUGAAUCCGUUGUGUCAGAAGUAUAGUGCUCCUGCUGGAAGAACUCCAGAAAUGAGAUUAGCAGUUGUUCAAGCAGGAAGUAAUAAAAGCAAUUCAGCCUCCUCUGGGGAAAGGUAACACCACAACAAUGUGAUUUUCUGGGAUAAUGCAACAUUAGGCUGGUGAAUGAGUUGAUGUCAUUGAUAAAAUGUAGACUGGAAACUGUGAUUACUCCAGUGAAAUAAGUUUCACUCUAAGACAAAGGGCAUAAAUCAUGAUAUGUACCUGAAAAAUAGCCUGACAUUAUGCCCAAGAAGAUGAAAUGGCUACAAACACACAUGGGUAUCACACAAAAAAUUUCAAGAUUAUAUUGAUGGCAAUAAUCCAUCACCCAGCAUUUUAGUUAUCAAUUGUGAAUGUCUAGAUACCAUCCAAAAUCCAAAAAUUGACAAAAUAAUACUUCAUGUAUCUUCUAGUUUUGCCCACACAACUGCAGAAAGAAAAGCUGAACCCUGACUCUUUGGAGCCCUUGGAGCCUGGUUCUGUUUUGAAUUGACAUGGCAAAGAGAGAAAGCAAAGAAAAAUGUGGGCAGAGGGGCUUUUAGAGGCAGUCACAGACAGCUCACUUGGUAGAAAUGCAGAGGUAAGGAUGAAAAGGAGAGCUACACGGCUGAGAAUUCUCUUUUGGAAAGGAGACAUUAGAUACCAGAAUGGUAAGUAGACUUUAGUAUUUCCAUUCCAUACAUACACAAUGAAAAUUCUUUAUGAGUUUAUGUGAUAAGACUGGCAAAACCCCAUUUAUUUCUGAAUUAUUCACUUAAUAGAAGUUUCUGCAUUUUGCCAGUAUGAAAAAAGCAAUGUAAUUAAAUGGGUGUAUAAACUGAGUAGAUAUCAUGGUCAAGCAGACAUAACCUAUUGCAGGAAAUGCCAUUGAACUUGCCCCAUAUAAUUAACAAACAAUCAUCAGCUUGAUCAGGCCCUGCAGAGAUGUGCUUUCAUUAGCCUGAGCUGGCUAUUGAUAGCUUCCUGCAUUUCUAUCACCCCCUGGAGCAUGAGGCAGCACUUCACAUGUGUCUGUAUUCAGGACUGGUUGGUCAGACAUGGGGAAAGACUGCUCGGGGCCAGCUGGGAUAAUGAUUUUUAACAGCUGAACUACAGAAUCCUAGGCAAUUAUAUAAAGUUAAUUCAGUUUGUAAAUCCAAUUAAGAAUAAGUUUUAGCACCAUGAAAAGCAAAGAUUUUUACUGUAAUUAUAGAAAUAUGCUUAUGCUAAUUAUUUUUCUUACCAGAAUGCAAAACAGUGUUUGAUGAGUAUAGUUCAGUAUUAGCAGCAGUUUAUAAAUAUCACAGAAAUUGUGCAGGUUUGAAAGCUUGCCUCUGGUUGAGAAAUGAAGCAAGUCUAAGCAAGUUCCCACACAGAAUCAGGAAUUGUGUCAGGCUUUUGAUUCAGUGGCAUCAGAAGUUGCCGAAGGUCUGCAGCCAGCAAGAUUCUCAUAACCGAAGAAGCAGCUCCUUGUUUGAUAAUUUUAUCAAUAAUUUAUGUACACUGGCUCAUUGCCACAAGUUUGAAAGUAAAUGAGUGCAGCUUUUGUGGGAGUGCAGAGGUAGCUCCUAGUGACUGUGUGAUUCCUGGGUUUUGGCGUUUAUCUGAUAUACAUGAUCAUGUGUUCUAAUGAGCAUGUUCAUGUUAUAAAAAUGUGAUAAAAUAAGCCUUGAGUAGGUCACCUAUUUAAUAACUGUUUCUGUUAUUGUAUGUGAUAUUGCAUAUCUUUCAGGUUAUCAACAUGGCAACACAAAGAAAAUAAAUCUAAAACCUUUAAAAUAAUAUAAUUCAAAAUUGCUAUGAAACAUCCCAUUCCCCAAAUUCUACAGGAGUAAAUACAAAUUUAUCAUCCAAAUCCAUAGACAAUCUUGGCAAUUUCAAUUUACAUAUCUUUUUAUUCAAGUGUAAGGAUAAGGAUUUCAAAAAGAGGGAUGCUCCUGAAAUAGGUUAUAUUUUAUUAUCAGGUAGAAUGAGCAAUAUACACUGACACUGACCUGCCUUUCUUGAGGACCUCUCUACCUAGGUAGAAAAGAUAUAAUAAAUGAAGUACAGUUGUGAACUUUUCAGUGGUGUGACUACAUGAUAAAUUAAUUUAAAAUACAUAGAAAAGAUCCAGGUACUCUCUCUGGCAUUUAAUUCCCCAUCUUUAUUAAUCUGGGGAGAUCUAUGGCUCUUUCUGCCUUACUCAACAUGGUCACAGUUGCCGCACUCAAGAUACUAAUCAGGUGGAAGACCCAGGAAGCCUUGGCUCCUCAUCUUCACUGACUUUUUUUCUUCUUCUAGAUGUCUUUUUAUUAUUGGCCUUUUCCACAGUCACUAAAAAUUUUGUAUAACAUCCCAUUAUCUUCCAAGUGUUUUUCACUGUGUCUUCACAGCCUUGUCCCAGUACUUAACCUACAAGAUUCAAACUGCUUCUAUCCAAGAAAAUAGAGAAAAUGUUUGACAAUACAGAAAAAUGUUGCCAAGCACUUGGUAGCUGAAAACCUGUAAGGACUCAAAGGAGGGUUUGAGGAAUGUGACACCUCUUGGGAGAAUCAUUGCAUAGAUUGCAUGCUAAUUCUGAAAACAGAAGUAGGCAAACCCGUGGGGUUUUUUGUUUUUAUGGUUUGGGGUUUUUUUGGUGUGGUUUUUUUUGUUUGUUUGUUUGGUUGGUUGGUUGGUUUUUUGUUUGUUUGUUUGUUUGGUUUGGUUUGGGUUUUGUUUUUUUUUUUUAAUGCAACUGUCUAAAAUGGAAUUUGAGGUCAGCAGAAGGAAUUACUUUUCUCUUGAGUGUUUUCAGAGCUCAUUGUUCCCUCCUGUGCCCAGGAAACACUUGGGAGUUUUGCCUCUGGGGCUCCUGGAGGGACAGAGUUGAUGGACAGACUAACAUCUGUGGGCUGUCUUCAAUUUUGUAAGAUUUGAUGAAAAUGGUGGUGGCAUCUCAACCCUUCCAGAUCUGACCAAUUUCAGCCCUACUCUUCCUUCAGUGUGCUGCAGUAAUUAUCAGAGGAUGAGAAACUCUCCACAGCCUGCCUCCCCUGGCAGCAAGGCUGCCAGCUUCAGACAAAUGUUGGCUGUCUCCCAGUGUGGGGCUGUGAGCCCAGGCACCGAUGAAUGACCCUCUUCUGCCACAUAGACACAGGACACGCAUUCCUUUUGGAGGAAACUGCUGUGAGCCUUGGACCCAGUCUACUUCCCCAAGCCCUGUACUGGCACUGCAUGAACCCCAGGAACACAAGCUGCUUGAGUGCCAGCCAAAUCCUCAUUAACCCGCUGACUAUUCCAAUCACAUACUGACCAACAUGUCUGAAAGGACCAAGGAAAAUAAAGGUCAGGAGAGGGUGGUGGUGUCUGCUGGUGAUGUAAACCUGUGUCCUCAUAGUGGUGCUGCAAUUUCAUCACUGCAUCUGAUUCAAAAAUACACCAACAGGUCAUCAGUUUUAUUUCCAUGUGUAAAGCUUGGUGAAGUUUUGAAAUAGCUCGACACAGCUUCCCUACCAGGAAAGCAGGAAAGGCUGCUGGAGGAUGGUCUUUGUGGAUAAAACCAACACUGAAUUCCUCAGCACUAUGACACUGUUUGUCUGCGCUUGGGAAUCGUCUCAGAUAACCAUGGAUCCUCUCCUACAGUGCACUGGUUUUCCUCAGAUGGAUUCUCCACAUGUACACUCUACUUUGAAGUAACCUGUCCUCUGUCAGGCUAACUUACUGCCAUCUUUGAAUUUAAGGUUAGGCUGCUGUGUGAGGAGGUUAGACCAGUCUGUUACAACUUGGUCUUGACAUAUCUGCAGAGCAGCAGACAGGCAAGUUAACAAAAGGACCUAAGUGCCACCUAACUGCCAUUUCAGAUAUCUAAGGCUUGUAUCAUACAAACUUACAGCUUCUAAUAACUUAAAUUCCCUGGAUGUUAUGUUUUCUUGUAGGAAGUGUGUAUUUUCCCAAAUACAGUCUGCACCCCAGUAACACUUAGCUCCUAAAUCCCAGCAGGAUUAAGGGUGUCCAACUGGAACUUUGUGGAAAAUAAAUGAAGAUUUAAUGGGAGAGAAAUGAAGAGGAAGAAAUCACAUCAUUUAUCCAGGAUAGAGACCUUCAAGUUCCGUGAAAACUCUGUGUCUGUGCAUCUGGCUAUAUGCAUCCACGGAAUAUGGACUGGACUGGUGAGAGAUUGUACUUUUGACUCUGGAGAGAAUCUGGGCAAUUUCUGCUUCUCUGAAGUUGCACUUGAGUCACCUGUGCUGUGGUAUUCUGGCAACUCAGCUCAUAGAGAAAAGAAUUUAAAGCAAAAGGGAGAAAAUCAUCCGUCACAGGAAUCAAGUACCCAGGGAUGUAGGUAUGUAUGUGAACUAAAAUAUACACUGAUUGUAAGGAGAGUGUUAUGGAAUAAUGAGCAGCUGACGAUUACAAAUGCACAGGGUGCUGAAAGCACUCUGUUUCUGCUUUUAGCAUGUCUUCUGUUCUUGUUUUGCUUUACUGACUCUCUGACUCUAGCAAAGGACAUCAAGAAAAGGGAGAGACAGAGAUGUUCUGUGCAGUGCAGAGACACCCACUGGUAUAUUUAAGUAAAAAAAAAUACCCUGCUUCAAAAUGUGUGAGACAGCCAUCUUAACUUCUGGCAGUGAAAUCACAAACUGAAAUUACUGAAUAUUAGGGAGGAAGAUCCUUCAGAGAGUACUGUGUUAAAUGCACAGUGGCAGAAUAUAUAUGUGCUGUACAUCAGAGGGGACACACAACAGCACUUCUUCACCAACUCAUCCUAGAGCUUUGUGUUUUACAGCUUCUAGCAGCAAAUGCAGCCUGAGGCAAUGAACAAUGCCACUCAGAGCAGUUGUAAGACUGCUCUAAAUCCUAGCAAGGGCUGAAACUGUUUUAUAGUCCUCAUCAUAAGAAAGCAGUUAAGGUGUCUAAAGACUGACAUUCAUGUGAGGUCUGUGCCAGAGAAUCAAAGCUCACUAAUACUUCAAAUGCCUUCUGUUUUGUGACUGUAUACUGUGCCAAUAUGCAUAAUCUAACCUGUUUACCUUAAUAGCCUGUUCUGUCUUUACUUCCCAUUUUUUUCUGCAUCUUGCAACCACCCUAUUUUCUCUCAAUUUUCUGGCAUGUAAUCUCUGUCCCUGCUGCUUUGAGAGCACAUUAACAGUGACAGUUCUUCUCAUCUUCUGAAUGUUUGUGUACACAUACAAUGGCCAGUAUUGGAUUAAGACACAGGAAUGAAAGACCCAAGUCUAAACCUCCAACUGUGGAAUGAUUAAAUUAAAACCUACUGGGUUGAGGUUUUUUAUGAACCAUCUUUUUUAUUCUUGAACAAGCUUCUGAUCCAUAUGGUCAUGAAAGCAUGAGCUCACUGAACUUGACAUAACCGUAUUUGGUGCAAUCAGCAAACAGUAAAGGCACAAAGUCAGUGCUACCUUGCAUUUUAGAGUUCAGAUCCUUUCAGACAUGUGAGAACUACCCAAGAUGACAGCUGUAAGUGAAGUAGUCCUCCCCUCCUUACUUCAAGUGUCGGGGGAAAAAAGGAACUGCAGGAACCUGAUUUUUCAUAAGGGGAAAUGUAUGUUUGGUGCUUUGGUGUUACUCCCACCAUAAUGACUGAUCAUGAAGAAACAAGGAGAGUCAGGGCCUUGGACCAGCUGAAGUUUUUCACUCUCAGGUUGUUACUGUCAUGCAGGUGGUGCAAACCAGUCAAGUGCGAUUUCUGCUGUGCCUGCUAGUAAUUGUGCCUUAUCUGUCACUCUCUGUAAAUACAAAGUGUCAUGGUUGCAGCCCCUGCUGCCAUCAAAAAUUGUGUUUCAUAUACAGGGUGAACUGAUGUCUCAAAACUUUUUAGGAUCCAUGUUCCAUCCCUCAUGAGCCCUUCCUGCAGCAGUCAUCACAAAUUUGGCAGCUCAUGACUCUUCAGUGGAUCAUGUCUCCACUUUUCUGGACCUGUUUGCUUUCUACAAGGGGGUAUGCAGCAAGCCCCAUAUUUGUCUUUUUUAUUUCCCCUCUGGGAGUUUUGAUUUCUGCAACUUAUAUUGUGGAAAAUACCACAAGACUUGGGCUCAAGGGACAAGUAGAUGCUUUAAAAAUAAAUAGCUAGUCUUUGC